rnacentral:lncRNA from 1 species
ACAAUUGCUCCUUGUGAUGCUGCGGAACCCUGGCAAUUAGGAUCUCAAAAUGCAGCAACACCUAUUAUGCAAGGAAUCAUUUACUUACAUCAUGAUAUCUUUUUCUUCCUUAUUCUGAUUUUGGUUUUCGUAUCACGGAUCUUGGUUCGCGCCUUAUGGCAUUUCCACGAGCAAACUAAUCCUGUUCCGCAAAGGAUUGUUCAUGGAACUACUAUUGAGAUUAUUCGGACCAUAUUUCCAAGUAUCAUACCGAUGUUCAUUGCUAUACCAUCGUUUGCUCUAUUAUACUCAAUGGACGAGGUAGUUGUAGAUCCAGCCAUUACUAUUAAAGCUAUUGGACAUCAAUGGUAUUGGAGUGCGCCUCUUAACGAGGGUGAUUUAAGUGCUUAGAAAUGUACCGGUAGUUCGCGAAGCAUCUGGCUUACCAGUAAUCUCCCAUUCCCGGCGUCGAGAGACUAUAAGAACAAUAGCAUGCCAGAAACUGGGGAGUUUCAGUGGUUAGACCUAUACCCGGAAAUGCUCCCAGCAUAGGAGCCUAUGGUGCAAUUCCUUUUGUUGCUGGAGGUACACAUACCUCUUUUCUCGGUGUGGAAGUAAUAUACGAAAAAUAGAUGCUUAGGCAUGCAAUGUCCGAUAACAGCGCUGAAGUAGUUCAUCUAUCGGCACCACAGCACAGUGGCAUACAACUUUCUACCUAACGGCCGGCCCCGUCACCUUUCGGAAUGAGGGAUCCCCGUUGGCAACAACCACAGUAGUAGUAGCAGAACUACUGGGCCAAGACAAGAGAGCAAAACCGGUUCUUCCUUUUCCUCUUUCUUCGCUUCGGGGACGGAGGUCCUACAGUAGGUAACAGCAUGCACAAGCAACCGAAGGGGACCAGCGCUUCUACUACGGAACCGAGGAGCCGUUCGCAGCGAUAAGCAAGGGAUGUCGUGAACGGUUGGAAAAGGUCAAACAUAGAGAAUUCAACAAAGUGAUGUCGUAAACAGUAUAGUAGGGAGGUCAAAUAGAAUUUCCCUAAGCGAUUCGUGAACAGUAGGAGGUCAGUCAAACAUAGAGAAUUCCACUCAGCGAUGUCGUAAACAGUAUAGUAGGGAGGUUCAAUCUCAUUUACCUAUGAAUAGAGUCAUCCUAUUCUCUCUCAAUGGAUAUAAUUUCGAAUAUCUCUUUUGCUUAGUCAUCCUAUUCUCUCACUUUUGCUUAGUCAUCCUAUUCUCUCACAAUGGAGGAUCUAAUUUCGAAUAUCUCUUCUGUCCUAAAUUAGAUAAAGAUAUAAGGGUUACUCAAUCAAUUCAAUUACCCGCUGGCAUAAUGCAGGCUAGAAGUGGGAAUUCAAGGUCUCAUGAACGACUUUCUUUUAGUGGAAUCACUUUCUGGUCAGAGGCCUAUAGAUAGAUCCUUUUAGAUCUAAGGUCCGGCCAUUCACAUUCGCAUUGAGAAUCUAUACUCCUUACUGGAGAGGUUAGGAAUAACUCAGUAUCUUAUCUAUUGGGGCCUACAACUUAGCCGAGCCGACUAAGCAUCACUCUUUCUUUUCUUUUCGAACAAAGAAGACGAACUUCACUUACUAUAGGAUCGAAUUCGCUUUCCGGUAGUGAACAGGUCGUGUCGUCCCAUACCUUCUCUUCUGACUGUAAUAUUAGUGUUGAACUGAGUAGUGUUGAACUGAGUCCUUUUUGGUUCCAGCUUCACUUCAGUAGGUAGGGCUGGGCUCAAAAGGGUGGGUCUGCCUAUGAAUAAGUAAGCGGGCCUUCGAUUCCACCGGGGUCUUACGGUCUUUCUCUGAUAGGGGACUUAACUAACCAAAUAAUAAUAGUGCUUGCUUGCUCUCUUUAUAAGAGUAGGCAAAAUAAUAAUAAUAGUGCUUGCUGAGUUUAUAGGUUUUAGUAGGCUCAUCAUAGUGCUUGCUGAGUUUAUAGGUGUUCUAGUAGGCUAAAGAAGAAUAGUGCUCCGUAUCCGUUUAUAGGAGUAGGCGUGGAAAGCUUUUAGCAGGUAACCUUGCAAGUUCAGUUUGGGGGGAGGCGGGCGUCGACCCAAC